CUCGUCAUUUUUCAUCCAGUUUUGGACUUUUUCAUCUUCCACCGUGAGCCAGUCGGUCUGUUGUGCAUGUUUGUGGACUUGAUCUUUUUCGUUGCAACUAAGUUUUACUUUAUUUACUAGCAGUUUUUACGUGAUUUUUAAGCUUUUUGUAAUAUAUUGAUUUCAGAAUAAAUAUUGGAAAUCUUCUCUUAAUUGUUAUCGUAGAUAUUUUGUUAGCAAUAUGAUGUAAAGGUGUAACUCAUGUAAUAAAAAGGUACCCAAAUCUCCCACCAGAUGCUGUCGAUUAAUUCAUCAACAUCAACAAUGCAAUGGCCGCUUCCAUUCACGUUGAAUGUUAUUGGUGUGUCUUGAAAAGGUUAUUUAUUUAUCUUCAUUUAUCUCCAUUUAUUUCCAUUGUGAAAAACUACGUGUAAAGUGUUUAGUUCAUUUAAAACGAGGAUUCAGACAAUCAGUUCAUCAUCGUCUGGUGUACAAUUCAUAUCUUAUAGUAAAUUGUCCAAACGCCGUUUGAUGUUGAACACAUUUCCGUGAACAGAUCACAUUUUUUAGGAAUGGAUAUUGUGCAAGUGAAACUGGGAAGAAACAUAAAUUGUACUGGCAACUCCUCCCUAGUAUGAAAUGGAUCAACGGGCCACAGUUAACAACAACAACAAAGGAAUCAUUACUUCCCGGAUAUCGCGAGUCAGCCACAGGUGUCACUCAAUCUCCAACGCAGUUUCUUUAUUGAAAUUGUGUGGCCCUGGCACAGAGAUCCUUGACCCAAUGCUAGCCUUUGUCUAUGACAGAAGAGUGACUUCCACCAACGUUCUGCCGCAUCCUCAUCUUCGCGACGUACGCUCAUUUAGCUUCGCUGCUACUCGUGAUUUUACUCUUACUACUCGUGCUACACAACUUUUUUCUACUUCAAUGACGAGUUAAACCACUUCAAUGGUCGCUUCCGUCCACCGUGACCCACCUGAAGUCACUCACCACGGGAUUAUGCCCAGGAGAAAACGUAUUGAAAGAGUCGUGCAGCUCACUGCUGUCGUUCAAAAUCAUUGUAUUCUACUGAAUGUUCCAUCAAAAUGAAACAGGAUUCAUCAUAAUUGUCUGCUGUUUGUAUUGGACUUGCUAGAUCGCCAAUCCCAGCCAUGCCCCGAUUUUGAGUGUUCUUCAUUACAGGUUUCUAACACAUUGGCAUGACAGAUUUGAUGAGAAGUCAUAUUUUGAAGAAAAAGAACAAGGACAAUACAGUCAACAAGGUUCCUUGUUUGCUAACCCGUUGGAUGCUACCCUUCAAUCUCCCUGUUUACUUCCUUACACAGGUCCUAUUGAUUUGAGGGUAACUCUUUCGCUACUGAUCACAUCAACUGUUGUAAACUGAUGAGAGAAUGCUGCAAUUCAAGACUGAUACAUUGUGUAGUUGUUAUAGAUAAAUGACAAGUGCAUAUCUGGGCUCCCUCCUUUUCUGUGGCCCCGUUUCCCUAACUAACCACUAACCA